GACGAACCGUGCGAACGUUAUUCGGAAUCACUGGGCUUAAAGCGCGUGUAGGGCGGGCCGGCACGUCGGUCGCUGAAAUCCCCCGGCUCAACCGGGGAAGGGGCGCCGAUACGACCGGCCUGGAGGGGCGUAGGGGAUGCGGGAACUUCCGGUGGAGCGGUGAAAUGCGUUGAGAUCGGAAGGAACGCCCGUGGCGAAAGCGCGGUCCUGGACGCCAUCUGACGCUGAGACGCGAAAGCCAGGGGAGCGAACGGG
rnacentral:rRNA from 1 species